rnacentral:misc_RNA from 1 species
GAUGAAGAACGCAGCGAAAUGCGAUAGGUAAUGUGAAUUGCAGAAUUCAGUGAAUCAUCGAAUCUUUGAACGCACAUUGCGCCCUUUGGUAUUCCUUAGGGCAUGCCUGUUGAGCGUCACUACACAACUUAUCACAAUAUUUGUGGUCUUGGCAGGAGUGAAUUGCUGGUCUAUGGAAGUAUUCCAGCAGUACACAAUGCUAAAAAAUAUGGGAAGGUUACCAGAUAUGAACAACAGACUUUGUAAAUGGUUGUAGGACCUAGAUCAGUCACAAGUCAUGUCUGGUCCCUUACCUUAAGGACCCCCAUCCUAGAUGAACUAUGGGUUGACCUCGGAUCAGGUAGGAAUACCCGCUGAACUUAAGCAUAUCAAUAAGCGGAGGA